ensembl:snRNA U6 U6 spliceosomal RNA
GUGUUCACUAUGGCAGCACAUAUACUAAAAUUAGAAAGCUACAGAGAUUAGUAUGGCCUCUGUGCAAGGAUGACAUACAAAUUUGUAAAGCAUCUUUAUUUAUU